CCACCAAAGUACAGGAUGCCAUUGGAAGUCAUGAGCCUUUAAUACUGACUGAUGCACAGGGCAACGCCAUUGUGGAGUCAGAGGGAACAACAGGUGGGUAACGUAAAAAAAAUGUUUCUCUGUUUUGAGUCUAUGCUUUUGAUUAUGAAUGAGUGAUCCACUUCAGCUGAAAUGUUUUCUCCUGGUUUCCACUCCUACUCCAAGGGUCGCCUUAUUGGAGACAAAAUGCAAGAAAGAUUCUUGCUGUUCCAGAAAAGGACUUUACAGAGCUGCAGGGCACCAAAAGGAGGAGAAUGAGCCGGAAAAAUGAAGAGGUUGGAGGCAUUGCAGAGGUCACAGACAAAAUUGAAGAGCUGGUUCUUGCAUCUCAGAGUCUCCCGGAUGUCACUUUAGCAAUCAGGGAGCUCACCAGUCUGGCUGCAGUUCAAAGACUGACCCUGACUCAUUCACAGCUACAGGCCAUUAAAGGAGCAUUUCACCGGUGGAGGCAUGAAUAUGUAUUGAAAUUGGGUCCUAUAUGUAGUCGAAUAAUAAAAUAAAAUUCUUUUUGGCGCUUGUGGAUUGAAGACAACAACUCCCACCAUGCACAGCUUCGCUGGCGGCCACUCCCGCUGAUCAUCUCCGCCUAUCAGACACCUCCUUGUUCCAUCUACUAAUGGAACCAAAUCAGCGUGGAGCUUGACCCGACGUCACUGGCAGAGAGUAGUGACGCUUGCACAGAAGCAUACGGCCGACAUCUUUCUUUAUUCUGGGUGGAAAUAGUAACAUAGUUACGCCAUUAAAUGCGUUUAUGUAAACAUUUUUAGUGAGAAAUGUGCAUUAUACUUUCAUCAUGUUCGCUCGUUGAAUGUGAAGGAUGUUUGGUUUGAUAGUUAUGACGAAGAGGGAACGCUCCAUUCACUUGCAUGGACAGCGUCUCCGGGUGCUAAGCAACCUCAACGUCUUGGCGGACUAUCUGCUGAUCAACACUACGAAUGCUGGAAACACACCAGACACACCAUGUGAAGUUAUUUAACCCGAUUAUUGUUAUUUAUAUCCGAGAUUAUUUAAUCUAACCCGAUCUAAACUCUAUCAUGCACCCAAACAUGGCGGCGUUUGGGUUUCCUACCUCGGACUCCUAAAUCCAGCGCAGCCACAGUUGGCGCGUUGAACCAUUUUUUUGACACACAAUGAUCAAGCGUCAAGUUAGGCACGUUACACGCGUUUGGUGUGGCCGUAGCA
ensembl:lncRNA